CCCUGGAUAGCUCAGUUGGGAGAGCGUUAGACUGAAGAUCUAAAGGUCCCCGGUUCGAUCCCGGGUGUGGGCA
rnacentral:tRNA from 1 species